rnacentral:rRNA from 1 species
CUUACCCGCGGCUUAAAUUGCAUCUGAAUAAUUUGGAAACAGAUUAGCCGCAAGGCAGAUGUGAAGGUGCUGCAUGGUUGUCGUCAGCUCGUGCCGUGAGGUGUCGGCUUAAGUGCCAUAACGAGCGCAACCCUUAUCUUUAGUUACUAACAGGUCAUGCUGAGGACUCUAGAGAGACUGCCGUCGUAAGAUGUGAGGAAGGUGGGGAUGACGUCAAAUCAGCACGGCCCUUACGUCCGGGGCUACACACGUGUUACAAUGGGGGGUACAGAAGGCAGCUACACAGCGAUGUGAUGCUAAUCCCAAAAGCCUCUCUCAGUUCGGAUUGGAGUCUGCAACCCGACUCCAUGAAGCUGGAUUCGCUAGUAAUCGCGCAUCAGCCACGGCGCGGGGAAUACGUUCCCGGGCCUUGUACACACCGCCCAGU